AAUGAACGUUGGCGGCGUGGAUUAGGCAUGCAAGUCGUACGGGUCGGUGUAGCAAUACAACGGCAAGUGGCGAAAGGGAGAGUAACACGUAGAUACCUACCCUCUGGUCGGGGAUACCGCGGCAUAACCGCAAGUAAUACCCGAUAAAAUCUCCGGAUCAAAGGUGUGAUUCCGCCGGAGGAGGGGUCUGCGUUCUAUCAGCUUGUUGGUGAGGUAAUGGCUCACCAAGGCUAAGACGGAUACGGGGUGUGAGAGCAUGCCCCCGCUCACUGGGAGUACGACACUGCCCAGACACCUACGGGUGGCUGCAGUCGAGAAUCUUCGGCAAUGGGCGCCAGCCUGACCGAGCGAGGCCGCGUGCGGGAUGAAGGCAUUCGGGUUGUAGACCGCUGUCGAGGGGAAUGAAGUGUAGGUGGGUACUCCCAUCUAUUUGACCGAUCCCUGGAGGAAGCAUGGGCUAAGUUCGUGCCAGCCGCCGCGGUAA
rnacentral:rRNA from 1 species